GAAGAAAGAGGGAGGCGUGCUUAACACAUGCAAGUCGAACGGUGAAGCGCCUUCCUUUUUGGUGGGUGUGGAUGAGUGGCGAACGGGUGAGUAACACGUGAGUAACCUGCCCCCUUCUUCUGGAUAACCGCAUGAAAGUGUGGCUAAUACGGGAUAUUCUGGGUCUGUCGCAUGAUGGGUCUGGGAAAGAUAUUGUUUCGGUGGGGGAUGGGCUCGCGGCCUAUCAGCUUGUUGGUGGGGUGAUGGCCUACCAAGGCGGUGACGGGUAGCCGGCCUGAGAGGGUGGACGGUCACACUGGGACUGAGACACGGCCCAGACUCCUACGGGAGGCAGCAGUGGGGAAUAGUGCACAAUGGGCGCAAGCCUGAUGCAGCGACGCCGCGUGAGGGAUGGAGGCCUGCGGGUUGUGAACCUCUUUCGCCAGUGAAGCAGGCCUGCCUCGUUUGUGGGCGGGUUGACGGUAGCUGGAUAAGAAGCGCCGGCUAACUACGUG
rnacentral:rRNA from 1 species